rnacentral:rRNA from 1 species
GGGUUGUGAGGUUAAGCGACUAAGCGUACACGGUGGAUGCCUAGGCAGUCAGAGGCGAUGAAGGGCGUGCUAAUCUGCGAAAAGCGUCGGUAAGCUGAUAUGAAGCGUUAUAACCGACGAUACCCGAAUGGGGAAACCCAGUGCAAUACGUUGCACUAUCGUUAGAUGAAUACAUAGUCUAACGAGGCGAACCGGGGGAACUGAAACAUCUAAGUACCCCGAGGAAAAGAAAUCAACCGAGAUUCCCCCAGUAGCGGCGAGCGAACGGGGAGGAGCCCAGAGUCUGAAUCAGUUUGUGUGUUAGUGGAAGCGUCUGGAAAGUCGCACGGUACAGGGUGAUAGUCCCGUACACCAAAAUGCACAGGCUGUGAACUCGAUGAGUAGGGCGGGACACGUGACAUCCUGUCUGAAUAUGGGGGGACCAUCCUCCAAGGCUAAAUACUCCUGACUGACCGAUAGUGAACCAGUACCGUGAGGGAAAGGCGAAAAGAACCCCGGCGAGGGGAGUGAAAUAGAACCUGAAACCGUGUACGUACAAGCAGUGGGAGCACCUUCGUGGUGUGACUGCGUACCUUUUGUAUAAUGGGUCAGCGACUUAUAUUUUGUAGCAAGGUUAACCGAAUAGGGGAGCCGUAGGGAAACCGAGUCUUAACUGGGCGUCUAGUUGCAAGGUAUAGACCCGAAACCCGGUGAUCUAGCCAUGGGCAGGUUGAAGGUUGGGUAACACUAACUGGAGGACCGAACCGACUAAUGUUGAAAAAUUAGCGGAUGACUUGUGGCUGGGGGUGAAAGGCCAAUCAAACCGGGAGAUAGCUGGUUCUCCCCGAAAGCUAUUUAGGUAGCGCCUCGUGAACUCAUCUUCGGGGGUAGAGCACUGUUUCGGCUAGGGGGCCAUCCCGGCUUACCAAACCGAUGCAAACUCCGAAUACCGAAGAAUGUUAUCACGGGAGACACACGGCGGGUGCUAACGUCCGUCGUGAAGAGGGAAACAACCCAGACCGCCAGCUAAGGUCCCAAAGUCAUGGUUAAGUGGGAAACGAUGUGGGAAGGCACAGACAGCCAGGAUGUUGGCUUAGAAGCAGCCAUCAUUUAAAGAAAGCGUAAUAGCUCACUGGUCGAGUCGGCCUGCGCGGAAGAUGUAACGGGGCUAAACCAUGCACCGAAGCUGCGGCAGCGACACUUAGGUGUUGUUGGGUAGGGGAGCGUUCUGUAAGCCGUUGAAGGUGACCUGUGAGGGUUGCUGGAGGUAUCAGAAGUGCGAAUGCUGACAUAAGUAACGAUAAUGCGGGUGAAAAACCCGCACGCCGGAAGACCAAGGGUUCCUGUCCAACGUUAAUCGGGGCAGGGUGAGUCGACCCCUAAGGCGAGGCUGAAAAGCGUAGUCGAUGGGAAACAGGUUAAUAUUCCUGUACUUGGUGUUACUGCGAAGGGGGGACGGAGAAGGCUAGGCUGGCCGGGCGACGGUUGUCCCGGUUUAAGCGUGUAGGGGGAGUGACCAGGUAAAUCCGGUUGCUUAUCAACCCUGAGGCGUGAUGACGAUGCACUACGGUGCAGAAGCAGUUGAUGCCAUGCUUCCAGGAAAAGCCUCUAAGCAUCAGGUAACAUUAAAUCGUACCCCAAACCGACACAGGUGGUCAGGUAGAGAAUACUCAGGCGCUUGAGAGAACUCGGGUGAAGGAACUAGGCAAAAUGGUGCCGUAACUUCGGGAGAAGGCACGCUGGCGUUAGGUGAAAGGACUAGCUCCUGGAGCUGAAGCCAGUCGCAGAUACCAGCUGGCUGCAACUGUUUAAUAAAAACACAGCACUGUGCAAACACGAAAGUGGACGUAUACGGUGUGACGCCUGCCCGGUGCUGGAAGGUUAAUUGAUGGGGUCAGCCGCAAGGCGAAGCUCUUGAUCGAAGCCCCAGUAAACGGCGGCCGUAACUAUAACGGUCCUAAGGUAGCGAAAUUCCUUGUCGGGUAAGUUCCGACCUGCACGAAUGGCGUAAUGAUGGCCAGGCUGUCUCCACCCGAGACUCAGUGAAAUUGAACUCGCUGUGAAGAUGCAGUGUACCCGCGGCAAGACGGAAAGACCCCGUGAACCUUUACUAUAGCUUGACACUGAACAUUGAGCCUUGAUGUGUAGGAUAGGUGGGAGGCCUUGAAGUGUGGACGCCAGUCUGCAUGGAGCCAACCUUGAAAUACCACCCUUUAAUGUUUGAUGUUCUAACUCGGCCCCAUGAUCUGGGGUGAGGACAGUGUCUGGUGGGUAGUUUGACUGGGGCGGUCUCCUCCCAAAGAGUAACGGAGGAGCACGAAGGUUAGCUAAUCACGGUCGGACAUCGUGAGGUUAGUGCAAAGGCAUAAGCUAGCUUGACUGCGAGAGUGACGGCUCGAGCAGGUACGAAAGUAGGUCUUAGUGAUCCGGUGGUUCUGAAUGGAAGGGCCAUCGCUCAACGGAUAAAAGGUACUCCGGGGAUAACAGGCUGAUACCGCCCAAGAGUUCAUAUCGACGGCGGUGUUUGGCACCUCGAUGUCGGCUCAUCACAUCCUGGGGCUGAAGUAGGUCCCAAGGGUAUGGCUGUUCGCCAUUUAAAGUGGUACGCGAGCUGGGUUUAGAACGUCGUGAGACAGUUCGGUCCCUAUCUGCCGUGGGCGUUGGAAGACUGAGAGGGGCUGCUCCUAGUACGAGAGGACCGGAGUGGACGAAUCACUGGUGUUCGGGUUGUCAUGCCAAUGGCAUUGCCCGGUAGCUAAAUUCGGAAGAGAUAACCGCUGAAAGCAUCUAAGCGGGAAACUUGCCUCGAGAUGAGUCUUCCCUGGGGCUUAAAGCCCCCUGAAGGAACGUUAAAGACUAUGACGUUGAUAGGCUGGGUGUGUAAGUGCAGCGAUGUAUUGAGCUAACCAGUACUAAUGAUCCGUGAGGCUUAACCUUACAACACCGAAGGUGUUU